CAAACCACAAACAACUAACUUAGGUACUCUAGUGGUUUAUGGUUUACUCAGACACACAUACAAGUUGAAAAGAAAUUGCAAGGAAAGGACGAAGAAAGUCUGCUGACAGCUAACCCCAUUAUUGUCCUAACCAUAUUAUCAUCAACACCAUUAAUCCUUUUAAAUGCAUGAUCAUAAUGCCUUAGCCACCUUUCAAUUUUAUAAAUGUUCAGUUCCCCCCACUUCUGAUUAAUCUUUGUUAAUCUAUAAGCUAAGUGAUGUCUUGAUCAGAAUGCCAACCAACUCAUCUUGCCUAUAAAUUCCCUCGCAAUCGCAUGUCGUCGACUGGAGCUAGCUACGCACACGUUUACGUGCAGCAGAAGCGGCAGAAAGAGAAGCUGAUGAGAAUGGAGCAGGAACGAGGAUCCGAAAAGGCGAUUGCCGGUAGUGUUGGUGAUAGUAAUAAGAGUGCAGGUAGCAGGAACAAGAAAGUUCAUCCUCGCAACUUCAUGUCUCCUGACUUGAGCCCCGGGUCCGGAGGGCAGAAGGACUAAAUAAGUGCAUAGCAGUUGCAUGCAGCUUAUUCCCAGCUUAAUUUAACUUGUAAUUCUGGUGUUUGCUGUAGAUUAUGGGUGUGUAAAUUUGAAACAAGAAAGUGAUGAUAUCAUUUGUGUUUGAAGUAGUUAACGUUGUCAGUUUUUGCAUUUUCAGUUGUAAUUGUCGUCCUCUUUUUUAUGUUGUUGUAAUUAAUAGUGGUUAUUAAUUCUUGA